rnacentral:rRNA from 1 species
GAUGAACGCUGGCGGCGUGCCUAAUACAUGCAAGUCGAGCGAACGGACGAGAAGCUUGCUUCUCUGAUGUUAGCGGCGGACGGGGGAGUAACACGUGGAUAACCUUCCUAUAAGACUGGGAUAACUUCGGGAAACCGGAGCUAAUACCGGAUGAUAUUUUGAACCGCAUGGUUCAAAAGUGAAAGACGGUCUUGCUGUCACUUAUAGAUGGAUCCGCGCUGCAUUAGCUAGUUGGUAAGGUAACGGCUUACCAAGGCAACGAUGCAUAGCCGACCUGAGAGGGUGAUCGGCCACACUGGAACUGAGACACGGUCCAGACUCCUACGGGAGGCAGCAGUAGGGAAUCUUCCGCAAUGGGCGAAAGCCUGACGGAGCAACGCCGCGUGAGUGAUGAAGGUCUUCGGAUCGUAAAACUCUGUUAUUAGGGAAGAACAUAUGUGUAAGUAACUGUGCACAUCUUGACGGUACCUAAUCAGAAAGCCACGGCUAACUACGUG